rnacentral:rRNA from 1 species
GAUGAACGCUAGCUACAGGCUUAACACAUGCAAGUCGAGGGGAAACGGCAUUGAGUGCUUGCACUCUUUGGACGUCGACCGGCGCACGGGUGAGUAACGCGUAUCCAACCUUCCCAUUACUGUGGGAUAACCUGCCGAAAGGCAGACUAAUAUCGCAUAGUCUUCGAUGACGGCAUCAGAUUUGAAGUAAAGAUUUAUCGGUAAUGGAUGGGGAUGCGUCUGAUUAGCUUGUUGGCGGGGUAACGGACCACCAAGGCGACGAGCAGUAGGGGUUCUGAGAGGAAGGUCACCCAAAUUGGAACUGAGCCCCGAUCCAAACGCCUACGGGAGGCAGCAGUGAGGAAUAUUGGUAAAUGGACGGAAGUCUGAACCAGCGAAGUAGCGUGCAGGAUGACGGCCCUGUGGGUUGUAAACUGCUUUUGUAUGGGGGUAAAGUUAGGGACGUGUCCCUAUUUGCAGGUACCAUACGAAUAAGGACCGGCUAAUUCCGUG